rnacentral:tRNA from 1 species
GAGGGUAUAACUCAGUGGUAGAGUGCGUGCUUAGCAUGCACCAGGUCCUAGGUUCAUUCCCUGUACCCCCA